ACGCUGGCGGCAUGCUUUACACAUGCAAGUCGGACGGCAGCACAGAGAAGCUUGCUUCUUGGGUGGCGAGUGGCGAACGGGUGAGUAAUAUACCGGAACGUACCGAGUAAUGGGGGAUAACUAAUCGAAAGAUUAGCUAAUACCGCAUAUUCUCUGAGGAGGAAAGCAGGGGACCUUCGGGCCUUGCGUUAUUCGAGCGGCCGAUAUCUGAUUAGCUAGUUGGUGGGGUAAAGGCCUACCAAGGCGACGAUCAGUAGCGGGUCUGAGAGGAUGAUCCGCCACACUGGGACUGAGACACGGCCCAGACUCCUACGGGAGGCAGCAGUGGGGAAUUUUGGACAAUGGGCGCAAGCCUGAUCCAGCCAUGCCGCGUGUCUGAAGAAGGCCUUCGGGUUGUAAAGGACUUUUGUCAGGGAAGAAAAGGCUGUUGCUAAUAUCGACAGCUGAUGACGGUACCUGAAGAAUAAGCACCGGCUAACUACGUGCCAGCAGCCGCGGUAAUACGUAGGGUGCGAGCGUUAAUCGGAAUUACUGGGCGUAAAGCGAGCGCAGACGGUUACUUAAGCAGGAUGUGAAAUCCCCGGGCUCAACCUGGGAACUGCGUUCUGAACUGGGUGACUAGAGUGUGUCAGAGGGAGGUAGAAUUCCACGUGUAGCAGUGAAAUGCGUAGAGAUGUGGAGGAAUACCGAUGGCGAAGGCAGCCUCCUGGGAUAACACUGACGUUCAUGCUCGAAAGCGUGGGUAGCAAACAGGAUUAGAUACCCUGGUAGUCCACGCCCUAAACGAUGUCAAUUAGCUGUUGGGCAACUUGAUUGCUUAGUAGCGUAGCUAACGCGUGAAAUUGACCGCCUGGGGAGUACGGUCGCAAGAUUAAAACUCAAAGGAAUUGACGGGGACCCGCACAAGCG
rnacentral:rRNA from 1 species